rnacentral:rRNA from 1 species
UCCCGCCGCCCCCGCCCGCCUACGGGAGGAGCAGUGGGGAAUAUUGCGCAAUGGGCGAAAGCCUGACGCAGCGACGCCGCGUGAGGGACGAAGGUCUUCGGAUUGUAAACCUCUUUCAGCAGGGACGAAGCGAAAGUGACUGUACCUGCAGAAGAAGCACCGGCUAACUACGG